CAGAUCUCCAGUCUUAGAGUUUGAUCAUGGCUCAGAACGAACGCUGGCGGCAGGCUUAACACAUGCAAGUCGAACGGGUGUAGCAAUACAUCAGUGGCAGACGGGUGAGUAACACGUGGGAACCUUCCUAGGGGUACGGAACAACUCAGGGAAACUUGAGCUAAUACCGUAUACGUCCGUGAGGAGAAAGAUUUAUCGCCCUUAGACGGGCCCGCGUCGGAUUAGGUAGUUGGUGGGGUAACGGCCUACCAAGCCUACGAUCCGUAGCUGAUCUUAGAGGAUGAUCAGCCACACUGGGACUGAGACACGGCCCAGACUCCUACGGGAGGCAGCAGUGGGGAAUCUUGGACAAUGGGCGCAAGCCUGAUCCAGCCAUGCCGCGUGAGUGAAGAAGGCCUUAGGGUUGUAAAGCUCUUUUACCAGGGACGAUAAUGACGGUACCUGGAGAAUAAGCCCCGGCAAACUUCGUGCCAGCAGCCGCGGUAAUACGAAGGGGGCUAGCGUUGUUCGGAAUUACUGGGCGUAAAGCGCACGUAGGCGGGUCGUUAAGUCAGGGGUGAAAUCCCGGAGCUCAACUCCGGA
rnacentral:rRNA from 1 species